AACCCUUAUUUUUUGUUGCCAGCACAUUAUGGUGGGAACUCAAAGGAGACUGCCGGUGAUAAACCGGAGGAAGGUGGGGAUGACGUCAAGUCAUCAUGGCCCUUACGAGUAGGGCUACACACGUGCUACAAUGGCGUAUACAAAGAGAAGCGACCUUGCGAGAGCAAGCGGAACUCAUAAAGUACGUCGUAGUCCGGAUUGGAGUCUGCAACUCGACUCCAUGAAGUCGGAAUCGCUAGUAAUCGUAGAUCAGAAUGCUACGGUGAAUACGUUCCCGGGCCUUGUACACACCGCCCGUCACACCAUGGGAGUGGGUUGCAAAAGAAGUAGGUAGCUUAACCUUGAGGAGGGCGUUUACCACUUUGUGAUUCAUGACUGGGGCGAAGUGUAACAAGGUAACCA
rnacentral:rRNA from 1 species